UUAACAGGAUUAGAUACCCUGGUAGUCCACGCCGUAAACGAUGAUAACUAGCUGUCGGGGCUCUUAGAGCUUCGGUGGCGCAGCUAACGCAUUAAGUUAUCCGCCUGGGGAGUACGGCCGCAAGGUUAAAACUCAAAUGAAUUGACGGGGGCCUGCACAAGCGGUGGAGCACGUGGUUUAAUUCGAAGCAACGCGCAGAACCUUACCAGCGUUUGACAUGUCCGGACGAUUUCGGGAGACCGAUCUCUUCCCUUCGGGGACUGGAACACAGGUGCUGCAUGGCUGUCGUCAGCUCGUGUCGUGAGAUGUUGGGUUAAGUCCCGCAACGAGCGCAACCCUCGUCCUUAGUUGCCAUCAUUUAGUUGGGCACUCUAAGGAAACCGCCGGUGAUAAGCCGGAGGAAGGUGGGGAUGACGU
rnacentral:rRNA from 1 species